rnacentral:rRNA from 1 species
CAGCCGCCGCGGUAAUACGUAGGGUGCGAGCGUUAAUCGGAAUUACUGGGCGUAAAGCGUGCGCAGGCGGUUCGUUAAGACAGAUGUGAAAUCCCCGGGCUUAACCUGGGAACUGCAUUUGUGACUGGCGAGCUAGAGUAUGGCAGAGGGGGGUAGAAUUCCACGUGUAGCAGUGAAAUGCGUAGAGAUGUGGAGGAAUACCGAUGGCGAAGGCAGCCCCCUGGGUCAAUACUGACGCUCAUGCACGAAAGCGUGGGGAGCAAACAGGAUUAGAUACCCCUGUAGUCCCUGUCUCUUAUAC